AAAUGUCUCAUAUGAGGAUUUGAGGAAAUUUAUCUGAGAGAAAACAGAAGGGAAACCUAUUUUAAAAUAUAUGCGGAGCCAUCAUAGAGCUGUUAUCCGGGUAAAAGGAUCUGGAGAAUGUACCCAAAUGCCAGGCAGAAUGCCCUACACAGAGAGGGCAAAUGGAAUAGGUGCUUUGAUGCUGGAGGGAAGACAAUAUUGGUUCUACCGAAGACAGGACAACUCACAGUGACAAUGGGACAGGCUGCCAUAUACAAGGCGGAACGCUCACCAAGCAGCCUUGGCCUGAGCAGUGUCUGUUUUCAGCAAUACAUAUAUUCAUAAAGGACAUUGCAAAUCUGUUGCUGCAGCACCUAGAACUGUAAAGGAUGUUCCAACAGGUGUACAAAGGAAAUCAUACUGUCGAGUCUGUUCAGCAGUAACUAAGACGGACCCGUGAAUAAGACAGCAUUGGCAUUCUCCUCAGCUGGCCUCACUUUAGACAGGCUUCUUCCUGACUCCAGACUCCUGACCUCCCUUUCCUCUGAGAAUUUGCUUUAGAAAACACGUAAAUUCCUUCUCUGAGCCUUUGAGAUAUAAACCUUUUAGAAGCCUCUUGCCAGUUUUACAAUCCAGGAAUGUCUUCCUCCAGGACCUGGGAGUCAUCCCUUUGAAAAGUAAUCAGCAAGAAGAUAGGACCCUAUCUCCUAGUUUCUGUAGGAGUAGGAGCCUAACUUCUGACGUCUAUGGGCACCUAUUAGCAAACACAGAUGGCAUCCUUACAGAGAAAAAUAUUUGCAAACUCAGGAAUAACUCAAUGGCUCCACAUGUCUCAUUAACCAACCUUCCCCCUGUCAUCCUCCAGCACUCUUCUACAAACUCACCCCAGAGCUUAAAGACUCUACUGCCUUUUGUUUCGAUAGAGAUGAGUUCAAACUCAGUUCUGGCCCUGCUUCUCUGCUGCAACAGCAUUGAAUAAAAU
rnacentral:lncRNA from 1 species